rnacentral:lncRNA from 1 species
UUAUGUGUUUCUCCGACUCUCUUCAUGUGGUACAGUUGGUGAUGAAAGACAUCUCGAGGUUUCAUCAUUAUGCAAAUCUCUUGGAACUCAUCCAGAAUUAUCUUGCUAAGGAUUGAUUUAUUUCUGUUCAACAUAUCCUUCGAAAAGAAAAUUCUUGUGUUGAUAUCCUUGCGAAGCUGGGAGUUAAAAGUUCAAACCAUCUUAUUACAUUUGAUGAGUCUCUUCUGUGUUUAUCAUAUGCUUUACUAGGGGAUACUUUAGACGUGUCCUUUUCAAGGACUUAGUUUUCUUCUUCUUCUUUUUUUCCCUUCUUUUUUCUUUUUCUCAUGUAACAAAAAAAAAAGGAAAUACAAAGGAUAUUACAGGGUCUACGAUACAAAAAAGGUUAUAUUAAAUAAAUUUUACUCCA